GUGAGUUUACAUUUUUUUUCAGUUCUCGUAGCGCUUCGGCUGGGUACGGUUGUGGGAUGCAUGAUACAAGUAAAAAGUGAGUUUAGAUAGAACGACAGUCAACCAUUAUAAAUUGUGCUAAAAUAAAUAAACUUUUCUAAUGCAUACAUACAAUUAAGUGAGAAAUAACCAAAAAAAUAAAAGUGUGAAACAGAAAUAAGACAAUUUUAAAUACCUAGUUUAAAGACAAGCUGGAGAAGUUUAUCGAAUAUAGAAGAAACUAUUAUGUUGAUUUUUUAUUGUUUACGUCUUCAUCUAAUUUAAGCAGAUGGAUAGAAUGACGAACAUAUUGAAUGGGAUUAGAGAAUGGUCGUUACGUUAUCCAACAUGCAGUAAAUAUUCCGUAAAAAGCACUUUAUCAAAUCUUCCAAACAUAACUUCGAAGUCAAGGAGAUACUUGAUAACGAAUAUUUCAGCCGAAAGAUUUAUGGG